rnacentral:lncRNA from 1 species
GCGGUGAUUAGAUUUAUUCAAGGCCUUCCAUGAGAACAUUAUAUUGACACGGUUUCUUGGAAAUCACAAAUACCAAGCUACACCAUAAUAACCUCUCUCCCAUACAGGUACACCCAUUUCAUGUUUAACAGCUCAUCAAGAGAGGUAGGCUUUUAAAGGUAUCUAUCCGUGUAGACAAAAAUACAAUAAAUAGACACUGCAGAGCCCGUAGCAAAGCCUGGUUUUGCAAAGGGAACCGGCAAAACAAUUGCAGCAAACGUUUACAGUAAAAAUUUAUCAUGAGGAAAACUUGUCAGUGUGGUUUAAACUUUUUAAGGCCUACCUGUUCUGACGGUGUCCCUUAAAGCACAGUGAGAGCACAGAGGCUUAUGAAACAGUUAAAGGUCAGAAACACCCUAGUCCCAGAUACACUUCCUCAAGAACAGCUCCUGCGUUUCAGUGCAACUUAGGGCCAACUAAGAAUGCGUACGAUUGCAGUGUUGUACUGCAGAGUGAAACAUAUUAUUUGAAAGUAAAUUCUAAUGAAAUUGAGAAAGUGAAGUCCUACUGAAAUCAACGUGCUUUGGGACUGGAUACCAGUAAUAUGUAUGUCUUCUGGUGGUAUAUUUUAACACCUGCCAACAGGGCAAUCUUAUCCAAGUCUGAUCAGUGGUCAGCCAAACUGAAUUCAAUUGGAAUUAUUCUCAGGGAAAUAUAUAUAGGAUUGCAGCCUUAGGAUGACAGAAUGUAUAAUGUAUAAUAGAAUGUAUAAUGAAUUUUCUCUCUUUGUCAGAGAGCUAACAGGUAUAUACUGCUAAGAAUCGAAGUUCACAGAAGAGCCAUAUACAUUAAUACGCUGCCUAAAAUGUUACUAUUGACAUUCUCUGUGUAAUUGCUUUUGUAGUUCUCUCAGAAAAAACAAAGAUUCACUGAAUGGACACUGGGAUUUCCUUAUUCUGAUUUAUUUUUAGCUGCAUCGUGCUGUAAAGCUAAAGGUCACGAAAAAGAAAUUGUCAAGAAGCAUAAAAUAUUUGUUUUAGGUAGUUUUAGACAGGCUGUGUAUUUUUGUGUGUGUGCUGAAACAACAAAUAAAGUCUCUAUCAAGGCAACCUAAAUUACGUGCUGAUGAAUGUUAAAUUUCCAUGGGUUAGGCUAGGCUAUGGUUGUGGUGUCCAGAAGGAAGGAAGGCUGGUCCCCAGGCUGUACCAUAAAACAGCUAAGUAGGAGAGGGAUUUGGGUAUGUGCAACUUGUGAUGCAGCCAUGUGAAAAAGACUGGCAAAAUUGCAUUUUACAUUAAACGAUUAAAUAACUGCAGCUUCUUUUUAUUUUCAUCUUGUGAGUCUUGGUGC